UGUUUUUUACUUUUUUUUGGAAUGACCAUGACCUGGAUGACAAAGAUAGUUCAUGAAUGCAUUAGACAACAUCAAAACUACCUGAUGGGCACGGCUGUGGUGUGGGGUGGAGCAUGCGACGCAUGUUUGGAGGCCCGAGUCCUCGCUGUGGCCAUCCUAGGUCCGAGUCCCGGAGUAUGGACCUUUGCACCUGUCUCCCCCUUCUCUACCAACCCCAUGUCCUGUCAGUUAACUGUCAUAUAGGCUACUACUGCCACAAAAUAAAAUAAAACAUAAAAAAAACACCUGAGUUCAGUCUAAAGUGGAUCAUGAGGCGGAUUUGCCUUAAACUGGAUGGUUGCAUCAUGCACAAAACUUUGUUUUAAAAGGUCUUUAUGCAACUAACUCUGGUUUGGACAAGUUUCAUGAAUUCUUUGUGGCGUUUAAGUCUCCUGACAAAAGAAAAAUGUACAUGCUCAAAAUAUGAGAGUGACAAAAAUAUAUUAAAAUUCUCAGAAAAGCAUGGGAUGUAAAUGCAACACAAAUGUGGAAAUGGUUAAACAACAUCGUGAUCUGUGACCGGUCCAAAGUCUCACGAAGAGACACUAACAAACACAGUUAUCUUUUUCUUCUUGUUUGAUUUGGCUUCUUUAAAGAUAAACUGACCUUUGUCUGUUUGUUUGUUUUUUCUUUUUUUUACUUUUAUCGUUUGUAGUGUGUCAGAGGUUUAAACAUCAGGAAGAAGAUGGUUACCGCUCUACCAGUGGCUCCAACAUAUCCAGGAAGCAGCAAUGCUCAGUUAGAUCACAUCACUCUCUGUGUUCAGAUGAUGAUUGGGUUUCUAAAUGCCCGUCAGGUUGCAGACUUCAGAGCUUGAUCUCGCAAAUGGAAAAUGACGUGGAAAGAAAACUGCAGACGUUCUGUCAAAAGGCAAAGACGUACGAAAACGCAAUGGAGGAGUCAAUGACGGCCAUGACGCACAUCUACAACUCCAACCGCAGAGUGAUAGUCCACAGAUACAUCUCAGAGCUGAAGUUUGUGGAACGUGCGGACAGACUGGUCGGGAACGUCACAGAACUACGGCAGCGAUCGCGACUUCUGGCACAGAAAAUAAGGGAGUUGAGCGGUCAUGUGAGAAAACAGGUGGCGGAGUUAUAUCGAACGGAGGUAAGGAUGAAACGAAGAGCUAUGAAAG